UUUUGACUAUACAAAGGUAUUGAAAUAAGACUUUAAUUGAGUGCUAAGAGAAUGGAAUUUCAUAAAAACUCUUUUUUAAUUUUAAAAAUUGAAGUUAAUUUUAUAUGUGAAGAGACAAUAAUAAAAAUUAAGGACAAGAAGACCCUAAGAAUUUUAAAAAUUUAAAUAAAAAUUUUAAUUUUAUUUAAAUUUUUUAAUUGGGGCGAUUAUUAAAUAUUAACAACUUUAAUUUUUUUAAAAAAGAACCAAUAAUAUUGGUUAUUUGUAAAAAUACUCUAGGGAUAACAGCGUAAUAAUUUUUGAUAGUUCUUAUAGACAAAAUAGUUUGCGACCUCGAUGUUGGAUUAGGAUUCUUUUUUAAUGAAGAAGUUAAAAAAAGAAGUUUGUUCAACUUUUAAAUUCCUACAUG
rnacentral:rRNA from 1 species